rnacentral:rRNA from 1 species
GAUAAACGCUGGCGGCGCACAUAAGACAUGCAAGUCGAACGGUUUAUAACAAUCGGCUUUAGUCGGCGGACUGGUGAGUAACGCGUAAGGAACCUACCUAUUAGAGGGGAACAACAAUGAGAAAUCAUUGCUAAUACCGCAUAUGCCAUAACUACCGCAUGGUAGAAGUGGGAAAGGAGUAAUCCGCUGAUAGAUGGCCUUGCGUCUGAUUAGUUAGUUGGUGGGGUAACGGCCUACCAAGACGACGAUCAGUAGCCGGACUGAGAGGUUGAACGGCCACAUUGGGACUGAGAUACGGCCCAGACUCCUACGGGAGGCAGCAGUCGGGAAUAUUGCGCAAUGGAGGAAACUCUGACGCAGUGACGCCGCGUGCAGGAAGAAGGUUUUCGGAUUGUAAACUGCUUUAGACAGGGAAGAGAAAGGACAGUACCUGUAGAAUAAGCUCCGGCUAACUACGUGCCAGCAGCCGCGGUAAUACGUAGGGAGCGAGCGUUAUCCGGAUUUAUUGGGUGUAAAGGGUGCGUAGACGGGAAUACAAGUUAGUUGUGAAUACCUCGGCUUAACUGAGGAACUGCAACUAAAACUAUAUUCUUUGAGUACAGGAGAGGUAAGUGGAAUUCCUAGUGUAGCGGUGAAAUGCGUAGAUAUUAGGAGGAACACCAGUGGCGAAGGCAACUUACUGGACUGAAACUGACGUUGAGGCACGAAAAGUGUGGGGAGCAAAACAGGAUUAGAUACCCUGGUAGUCCACACCGUAAACGAUGGAUACUAGGUGUAGGAGAUAUUAAGUUCUUCUGUGCCGUCGCAAACGCAGUAAGUAUCCCACCUGGGGAGUACGGCCGCAAGGUUGAAAACUCAAAAGGAAAUUGACGGGGGCCCGCACAAGCAGUGGAGUAUGUGGUUUAAAUUCGAAGCAACGCGAAGAACCUUACCAGGGCUUGACAUAUAGAUGAAUAUAUAAGAGAUUAUAUAGCUCUUCGGAGCAUCUAUACAGGUGGUGCAUGGUUGUCGUCAGCUCGUGUCGUGAGAUGUUGGGUUAAAGUCCCGCAACGAGCGCGAACCCCUGUUUCUAGUUGCCAGCGACGUCGAGGUGGGAAACUCUAGAAAGACUGCCGUAGAUAAUACGGAGGAAGGUGGGGAUGACGUCAAAUCAUCAUGCCCUUUAUGUUCCUGGGCUACACACGUACUACAAUGGCUGUAACAGAAGGGAAAGCAAGCUAGUGAUAGCGAGCGAGACCCUCGAAAAAAGCGGUCACAGUUUCGGAUUGAAGGCUGAAACUCGCCUUCAUGAAGCCGGAAUUGCUAGUAAUGGCAGGUUCAGCAUACUGCCGUGAAUACGUUUCCCGGGCCU